CCUACGGGAGGCAGCAGUGGGGAAUAUUGCACAAUGGGCGCAAGCCUGAUGCAGCCAUGCCGCGUGUAUGAAGAAGGCCUUCGGGUUGUAAAGUACUUUCAGCAGUGAGGAAGGCGGGUACGUUAAUAGCGUGCUCGUUUGACGUUAGCUGCAGAAGAAGCACCGGCUAACUCCGUG
rnacentral:rRNA from 1 species